rnacentral:rRNA from 1 species
AACGAACGCUGGCGGCAUGCCUAACACAUGCAAGUCGAACGAGACCUUCGGGUCUAGUGGCGCACGGGUGCGUAACGCGUGGGAACCUGCCUUUAGGUUCGGAAUAACUCAGAGAAAUUU